rnacentral:rRNA from 1 species
UACGAAGGGGGCUAGCGUUGUUCGGAAUCACUGGGCGUAAAGCGCACGCAGGCGGGUCGUUAAGUCAGGGGUGAAAUCCCGAGGCUCAACCUCGGAACUGCCUCUGAUACUGGCGACCUUGGAGUCCGGGAGAGGUGAGUGGAACUCCGAGUGUAGAGGUGAAAUUCGUAGAUAUUCGGAAGAACACCAGUGGCGAAGGCGGCUCACUGGCCCGGUACUGACGCUCAGGUGCGAAAGCGUGGGGAGCAAACAGG